AUUGAACGCUGGCGGCAGGCCUAACACAUGCAAGUCGAACGAGUGGCGGACGGGUGAGUAAUGUCUGGGAAACUGCCUGAUGGAGGGGGAUAACUACUGGAAACGGUAGCUAAUACCGCAUACCAUCAGAUGUGCCCAGAUGGGAUUAGCUUGUUGGGGGGGUAACGGCUCACCAAGGCGACGAUCCCUAGCUGGUCUGAGAGGAUGACCAGGCCCACUGGAACUUGGACACGGUCCCAACCCCUACGGGAGGCAGUUGUGGGGAAAUUUUGACCAUGGGGGCAAGCCCGAUGCCACCCUGCCCGGUGUUUUAAGAAGGCCUUUCGGGUUUAAAGGUCUUUCCGCGGGGAGGCGUUACCCGCAGAAGAAGCACCGGCUAACUCCGUGCCAGCAGCCGCGGUAAUUC
rnacentral:rRNA from 1 species